rnacentral:lncRNA from 1 species
CCAUUUCAGCACUGACCCUAGAAGCACAGAUCAUGUGGUCAUCAUCAGUCAUUAAGGUUAAAACAGCUCUCAAGAUCAAGACUCUUCACCUCAGGAGCGCCUGGGUGGCUCAGUUGGUUAAGUGUCUGCCUUUGAUUCAGGUUGUGAUCUGAGUCCUGAGAUCGGGUCCGCUCCCUGCUCACUGCUUGUGCUCUCUCUCUCUCUCUCUGUCAAAUAAAGAAAACCUUAAAAAAAAAAAAAAAGACAUUUCACCUCAGAUCUCUUAUUUUCUUCUCUUGCUGCAAUGGAAUUGAAAAACAGCCACCACCUCCUUAUGCAUAAACAUUUUUCCUACAUGUAAAAGUCAUGCCCAGAAUCACAGAGUUUAGGGCUCGAAGUCCCCAUAUGGA